rnacentral:rRNA from 1 species
AGUGAACGCUGGCGGUAGGCCUAACACAUGCAAGUCGAACGGCAGCACAGUAAGAGCUUGCUCUUACGGGUGGCGAGUGGCGGACGGGUGAGGAAUACAUCGGAAUCUACUUUUUCGUGGGGGAUAACGUAGGGAAACUUACGCUAAUACCGCAUACGACCUACGGGUGAAAGCAGGGGAUCUUCGGACCUUGCGCGAUUGAAUGAGCCGAUGUCGGAUUAGCUAGUUGGCGGGGUAAAGGCCCACCAAGGCGACGAUCCGUAGCUGGUCUGAGAGGAUGAUCAGCCACACUGGAACUGAGACACGGUCCAGACUCCUACGGGAGGCAGCAGUGGUGAAUAUUGGACAAUAGGCGCAAGCCUGAUCCAGCCAUACCGCGUGGGUGAAGAAGGCCUUCGGGUUGUAAAGCCCUUUUGUUGGGAAAGAAAAGCAGCAGGUUAAUACCCCGCUGUUCUGACGGUACCCAAAGAAUAAGCACCGGCUAACUUCGUG